rnacentral:rRNA from 1 species
CCUACGGGAGGCAGCAGUGAGGAAUAUUGGUCAAUGGGCGAGAGCCUGAACCAGCCAAGUCGCGUGAAGGAUGACGGCCCUCUGGGUUGUAAACUUCUUUUGUCAGGGAGCAAUUCAGUCCACGUGAGGGCUUAGCGAGAGUACCUGAAGAACAAGCAUCGGCUAACUCCGUGCCAGCAGCCGCGGUCAUACGGAGGAUGCGAGCGGUCUCUGGAUUUAUUGGGUUAAAAGGGUGCGUAGGCGGAAUAUCAGGUCAGCGGUAAAAAUUCGGGGCCCAACCACGACGUGCCGUGGAAACUGAUGGGCUUGAGAGGGCGAGAGGGAGGCGGAAUGCGGGGUGUAGCGGUAAAAUGCAUAGAUAUAAGGAAGAACACCGAUUGCGAAGGCGGCAGACCGGCGUCUAACUGACGCUGAGGCACGAAAGCGUGGGUAUCGAAUAGGAUUAGAUACCCUUGUAGUC